GGCAGGAAAAGGGGUAAUAGUCGCUCAGUAGGAAGAGUAGUUGUCUUGCAAUCAGAAGGUUGUGGGUUUGAUUCCAGCUUCCUCCUGCCA